GUCACUUCCGGCCGCUGCAGGACGGGCGCGCGGCGGAGCCGGCUACAGAAUAACGUCCAGGUUUCACUCCAGAUCAUCCCAUCCUCCCAGGGGGAAGGAAAUGGCUGCAGUGGAGCUGGCUCAGGUCAUUAAUAAGAAUGUUAAAUCGCACAGGGCCAAGAACCAAUCCUUGUGGGAACCUCCUGGAAAGAAAUCCACUCGAUCACGGCUUUCCAUUUACUAUCACAGUUUUUAAUCUAUUUAAUGUAUGCCGUUUGUAUUUUGUAUCUUUCUAGUUUUCUAGUCAAAAUGUUGUGCCGAACCAAGUCAUAUGCCUUACAGAAGUCUAGGUAUGUUACAUCAAUGCUAUUAGUUGCAGCCAAACUUUUGAUCUCAUCCAAUAAGGAUAUCCAGUUAGUUUGAUAGGCUCUAUUAUCUCUGAACCUUUUUUAAUAGGCACUAAUUAUAUUAUCCUCAUUUAAUUCUUUAUUAAUUAAAUCCAUAUUCACUGCUCCAUUCUCUUGCCCAGUAUCGAUGUCAGACUAACACUCCUGUAAUUAGCUGGGUCACCUCUUUUACACUUUUUAAAUAUUGGCAGAGUAUUAGCUUUAUUCCCGUUUUCUGGAAUUUCCCUGGUGUUCCAAGUCCUAAUUAAAAUAUAAGAACUAGGGUUCACCAAAUGAAACUAAUAGGCAGCAGGUUUAAAACAAAUAAAAGGAAGUUCUU